rnacentral:rRNA from 1 species
UUCGAUUAACGCGAAGAACCUUACCUGGGCUCGAAGCGCAGUGGACCGGGGUAGAAAUAUCCCUUUCCGCGAGGACUGCUGCGGAGGUGCUGCAUGGCUGUCGUCAGCUCGUGUCGUGAGAUGUUGGGUUAAGUCCCGCAACGAGCGCAACCCUUAUCCCUAGUUGCCAUCGGGUCAAGCCGGGCACUCUAGUGAAGCCGCCCCGGAUAACGGGGAGGAAGGUGGGGAUGACGUCAAGUCCUCAUGGCCUUUAUGUCCAGGGCUACACACGCGCUACAAUGGUCGGUACAAACCGUCGCAAACCCGCGAGGGGGAGCUAAUCGGAAAAAGCCGGCCUCAGUUCGGAUUGGAGUCUGCAACUCGACUCCAUGAAGCUGGAAUCGCUAGUAAUCGCGGAUCAGCACGCUGCGGUGAAUACGUUCCCGGGCCUUGUCACACCGAAUCACUA